rnacentral:rRNA from 1 species
ACCGACAGCAAUAUGAAGGCCAGGGCUGAAGGACUUUGUCCGGAUUAGCUGAGAGGUGGUGCAUGGCCGUCGUCAGUUCGUACUGUGAAGCAUCCUGUUAAGUCGGGCAACGAGCGAGACCCACGCCAACAGUUGCCAGCAUGUCCUCCGGGAUGAUGGGGACACUGUUGGGACCGCCUCUGCUAAAGAGGAGGAAGGAAUGGGCAACGGUAGGUCAGUAUGCCCCGAAUAUCCCGGGCUACACGCGAGCUACAAUGGUUGGUACAAUGGGUAUCUACCCCGAAAGGGGACGGGAAUCUCCUAAAACCAAUCUUAGUUCGGAUUGAGGGCUGCAACUCGCCCUCAUGAAGCUGGAAUCCGUAGUAAUCGCGUUUCAACAGAACGCGGUGAAUACGUCCCUGCUCCUU